rnacentral:tRNA from 1 species
GGCUGAGUAGCUCAGUUGGUAGAGCAAAGGACUGAAAAUCCUUGUGUCGGCAGUUCAAUUCUGCCCUUAGCCA